rnacentral:snoRNA from 1 species
AAAAUAUAUUUUGGCUUAUGGAGCUGUGAAAUCAAGAGCUCUCAAUGCUAUGACCAAAGAUUGAAGUUCUCCAUAGGAUACUGUAAUCACUCGAUGGUGCUAUGUUUUCAUGAGGAGAGAUAAGA